AUUGCUUUCCUUUUUCGACUUCACUAAUUGCUCCACGGAGCUCCGCCGAUCUUACAGCAGCAAUGGCCGGAGCAGGAGAAGAUGACGGCGAAGUAGCUCUCCUCCUCCUCCCGCUCCCUCCUCUAGGUCAGCAAACAAGCAGAUCGAUCGACUGCGAGAUCCUUCCCCCUUAUAACCCGCCGCUCCUCCCUCCCUGCAGCCCACGGACGCCGCAGCGGCGGAGCACCGCCACGGCGUCGGCGACGAGCCUUCCUUUCAGGGAGAUUCAACCUGUUGAAGUUGGAAAAUGCUCUGGACGUUCCACUGUAAUCUGUGUUUUUAUGGCCCCAGUGAUCUGGAUUAUCACACUGAUGAACAAUCCAUUGAUGAUUUUCUCAAAUAAAACGAGCUAAGUUCCUUGAGGCAUAGUGUGAUAGGUAUUGAUAAGUUAUGCAUCAGGUGUGGCUUGCACAAAGAGGACUUUGAUCAUCUUGACAGCUGGAUUGGCUUUGCUGCUUCAUCAAAAACAAAGCAAAGAUCAUAUCUUUUGACCCGAAGAAACUUAUUCGCCAUCCGAAGAAGUUCAUGUUCAUCACUUUCGUCUUGAGGCCUUGGGUGUUCAAGGCAGAUCUUGUGUGUAGUUCUUGUUUCUCGCUGCUGUUUCUAUAAAGCCACACUCAGGUAUAUAUGGAUUAAGUAUACCACGCUAACUUGACAAACUUCGACAUUUACUAAUUGACAGAAUGAAUGUUGAGAUGGUUGAGUUUCAUGCUGCCGAUCUUUGCUCAUUUUUAGUAGGAAGGACAAGAGAUCCCUAUAGUACUUCAUGGGUGCUCCAAAUUAGAGAAGGCUACGAUAAUGUUCAGAGGCAGCAAUGGACUGGCCCCUGUAUUCACUUUAGUUCCAAGCAUUUUGCCAGUGAAGAUACUAAUUGUGCAAGCUUAUAUACAUGGAUAUGAGCAGAAUCUGACAACACCACCACAUGGCACGUUUAUGCAUUUGAGCCAUAUGACUUGUCAAUUAAUUGUCUUCUCUGGACAACCAAAUGCCCAUAAUGGAAUUCUUCAACUUGCCCGCUGCUUGGAUGUUGCGCCCCGACUGGUGAAGUUGCAUUUGGAUAUGGUAUAUCUGAACCUUGACGACGGUGGGAGUGAUGAGGUGAUGGAGGAGGAGGAAGUGGUGAAUGCUCAAACAAAGUUUGGCGUCGACCGAUCGCCGAUGGUGGUAUCGUAUAUUCAUAUGUAAUACUGAUGAUGGUGGGUGCUGUAAGCCAGUUCGCCGGGUUUCUUGAGAGUCUGUCGUGCAAAGAGAUAAUGAUGUCAGUGUGAUGGUUAAACUCGCUGUGUUUUAUUUUUCUGGGGCAACUAUCACACUCAACACACAUCUUUAAGUCUAUGAUAUAUACUAGAAGGAACCUGGCUGUA